CAGAGUGUAGUUAAAAUAGAAUAACACUUCCCUUACACUGAAGAGACACCCGUGCAAAUCGGAUCACCCUGA
rnacentral:tRNA from 57 species